rnacentral:rRNA from 1 species
AGACCCGAAACCCGGUGAUCUAGCCAUGGGCAGGUUGAAGGUUGGGUAACACUAACUGGAGGACCGAACCGACUAAUGUUGAAAAAUUAGCGGAUGACUUGUGGCUGGGGGUGAAAGGCCAAUCAAACCGGGAGAUAGCUGGUUCUCCCCGAAAGCUAUUUAGGUAGCGCCUCGUGAAUUCAUCUCCGGGGGUAGAGCACUGUUUCGGCAAGGGGGUCAUCCCGACUUACCAACCCGAUGCAAACUGCGAAUACCGGAGAAUGUUAUCACGGGAGACACACGGCGGGUGCUAACGUCCGUCGUGAAGAGGGAAACAACCCAGACCGCCAGCUAAGGUCCCAAAGUCAUGGUUAAGUGGGAAACGAUGUGGGAAGGCCCAGACAGCCAGGAUGUUGGCUUAGAAGCAGCCAUCAUUUAAAGAAAGCGUAAUAGCUCACUGGUCGAGUCGGCCUGCGCGGAAGAUGUAACGGGGCUAAACAAUGCACCGAAGCUGCGGCAGCGACACUGUGUGUUGUUGGGUAGGGGAGCGUUCUGUAAGCCUGUGAAGGUGUACUGUAAGGUAUGCUGGAGGU